CGUUAUGGCGGCUGUGCGUGUGGGCACCCUCGGGUGCGCCGGGUUUUCCUUUGUCCGGUCUGCUACCCGCGUACAGUCGCCACCUUU
rnacentral:antisense_RNA from 1 species